rnacentral:rRNA from 1 species
CCUACGGGGGGCAGCAGUGGGGGAUAUUGCACAAUGGGGGGAACCCUGAUGCAGCGACGCCGCGUGGGUGAAGAAGCGCCUCGGCGCGUAAAGCCCUGUCAGCAGGGAAGAAAAUGACGGUACCUGAAGAAGAAGCCCCGGCUAACUACGUGCCAGCAGCCGCGGUAAUACGUCGGGGGCAAGCGUUAUCCGGAUUUACUGGGUGUAACGGGGGCGCAGGCGGCGAUGCAAGGUAGGAGUGAAAGCCCGGGGCCCAACCCCGGGACUGCUUUUGGAACUGCGUGGCUUGAGUGCAGGAGGGGCAGGCGGAAUUCCUGGUGUAGCGGUGAAAUGCGUAGAUAUCAGGAGGAACACCGGUGGCGAAGGCGGCCUGCUGGACUGCAACUGACGUUGAGGCCCGAAAGCGUGGGGAGCAAACAGGAUUAGAUACCCUUGUAGUC